rnacentral:rRNA from 1 species
UACGGGGGGAGCAAGCGUUGUUCGGAUUUACUGGGCGUAAAGGGCGCGUAGGCGGCGUGACAAGUCACUUGUGAAAUCUCCGGGCUUAACUCGGAGCGGCCAAGUGAUACUGUCGUGCUAGAGUGCGGAAGGGGCUACUGGAAUUCUCGGUGUAGCGGUGAAAUGCGUAGAUAUCGAGAGGAACACCUGCGGCGAAGGCGGGUAGCUGGGCCAGUACUGACGCUGAGGAGCGAAAGCGUGGGGAGCAAACAGG